AGUAAAAAUUCAGAAUUUAGAAAUGCAUCACAGAUGGUAAUGGAAAUGUAAAUCUUCCUUAAACAUCCGUUAA